GGGGUUGUAGCUCAGUAGUAGAGCACUUGCCUAGCAUGUGUGAGGCACUGGGUUCGAUCCCCAGUACCA
rnacentral:tRNA from 1 species